UUUGAAUGAAAACAACAUCUCCCGGUCGGAAUAUUAUCGCUAUUUUACGAGAAAAAUCGUAUAAAAAUGGAUUUUAAACAGCGUUUGACAUGCUUCGAAGUACGGUAAUGGAAUAUUUAGAAAAUUUUUGUCACGAUAUGCGCCGGCGCGUCACCCUUCGGAUAGUGUCUUGAACGCAAGAACAAAACGCCGCUAUUUGGAUAUAACUAUGGAUUAUUUGGAACCAAAACAAUAUUGGGUGUAAAGUAGAAGUCCUGGGAGUGUAUUCUGACGAAGAACAGCAAAGGAGGAGUGCGUCAUUUGAGUGGGUUGAGUCACUGACAUGGUCUUCCUGUCUGGGUUGGUGCUCCCCCUUGGGUUGUGCCGUGGCGGAGAUCUUUGUGGGCUAUACUCGGCCUUGUCUCAGAAUGUCCACCUGGCCGUGCUGCUGCUCCAGUUUCAACUGUUCUGCCUACAGCUAUGGAACCCUGACCUUUUCACCGGACGUGCUACCUGUUCCAGACCUGCUGUUUUCAACUCUCUAGAGACAGCAGGAGCGGUAGAGAUACUCUCAAUGAUCGGCUAUGAAAAGCCAACUGACAUUUACUCCUGAGGUGCUGACCUGUUGCACCCUCGACAACUACUGUGAUUAUUAUUAUUUGACCACGUCGGUCAUUUAUGAACAUUUGAACAUCUUGGCCAUGUUCUGUUACAAUCUCCACCCGGCACAGCCAGAAGAGGACUGGCCACCCCUCAUAGCCUGGUUCCUCUAUAGGUUUCUUCCUAGGUUUUGGCCUUUCUAGAGAGUUUUUCCUAGCCACCGUGC
rnacentral:lncRNA from 1 species